GCGGCUCGAGCCCUCCCGGUCCCCGCGUCCCGCCCCUCGAGUCCCCUCCCUCGCGGGCCCCCCGCCCGGGAGGCCGCGGGAGCCCGCUGGGAGGGCGGGCCCGUCGCCGCCGCACAGGUCGCGAGGCGGGCGCUGAGGAGCGGGUCCGCGCCGCGGGCUAGGCGGAGGCGGAGGCAAAGCGAGCGCGGGAGGUCGCCGCAGCCGGGGACACCGCGCGCCGCUGCCCAACAUGGUCGCUGCGCACGCUGCCCAUUCUUCCUCUUCAGCCGAGUGGAUCGCCUGCUUGGAUAAAAGACCAUUGGAACGAUCCAGUGAAGAUGUGGAUAUAAUCUUCACAAGGCUGAAAGAAGUUAAAGCUUUUGAGAAAUUUCACCCAAAUCUCCUUCAUCAGAUUUGUUUAUGUGGUUAUUAUGAGAAUCUGGAAAAAGGAAUAACAUUAUUUCGCCAGGGUGAUAUUGGAACAAACUGGUAUGCUGUCCUGGCAGGGUCUUUGGAUGUCAAAGUGUCUGAAACCAGCAGUCACCAGGAUGCAGUGACCAUCUGUACUCUGGGAAUUGGGACAGCUUUCGGAGAGUCCAUUCUGGACAACACACCCCGCCAUGCGACCAUCGUUACCAGGGAGAGCAGUGAACUGCUCCGCAUCGAGCAGAAGGACUUCAAGGCUCUAUGGGAGAAAUAUCGACAGUACAUGGCAGGACUUCUGGCUCCUCCUUAUGGUGUUAUGGAAACGGGCUCUAACAAUGACAGGAUUCCUGACAAGGAGAACACACCUCUCAUUGAACCUCACGUUCCUCUUCGUCCUGCUAACACCAUUAGCAAGGUCCCUUCAGAGAAGAUCCUCAGGGCUGGAAAAAUUUUACGAAAUGCCAUUCUCUCUCGAGCACCUCACAUGAUAAGAGAUAGAAAAUACCACCUGAAGACGUACAGGCAGUGCUGUGUGGGGACCGAGCUGGUGGACUGGAUGCUGCAGCAGACUUCAUGCGUUCACUCCCGAACUCAGGCUGUUGGCGUGUGGCAGGUGCUGGUGGAGGACAAUGUUCUCAACCAUGUGGACCAGGAGCACCACUUCCAAGACAAAUAUUUAUUUUAUCGAUUUCUGGAUGACGAGCACGAGGAUGCCCCCUUGCCUACUGAGGAGGAGAAGAAGGAGUGUGAUGAGGAGCUGCAGGACACCAUGCUGCUGCUGUCGCAGAUGGGCCCUGACGCCCACAUGAGGAUGAUCCUUCGCAAACCACCUGGCCAGAGGACUGUGGAUGACCUAGAGAUUAUCUAUGAAGAGCUCAUUCACAUUAAGGCCUUAUCCCAUCUGUCUACCACAGUGAAACGAGAGUUAGCAGGGGUCCUCAUUUUUGAAUCUCAUGCCAAAGGAGGAACUGUGCUGUUUAACCAGGGGGAAGAAGGCACCUCCUGGUACAUUAUUCUAAAAGGAUCAGUGAAUGUAGUCAUUUACGGCAAGGGUGUGGUCUGUACCCUGCAUGAAGGGGAUGACUUUGGCAAGUUAGCACUGGUCAAUGAUGCGCCAAGAGCUGCUUCUAUUGUCUUGAGAGAAGACAAUUGCCACUUUUUAAGGGUAGACAAGGAGGAUUUCAACCGGAUCCUGAGGGACGUUGAGGCGAAUACAGUCAGACUUAAAGAACAUGACCAAGAUGUCUUGGUGCUGGAGAAGGUCCCAGCAGGGAACAGGGCUUCUAAUCAAGGAAACUCACAGCCUCAGCAAAAGUAUACUGUGAUGUCAGGAACACCUGAAAAAAUUUUAGAGCAUUUUCUAGAAACAAUACGCCUUGAGCCAGCUUUAAAUGAAGCAACAGAUUCUGUUUUAAAUGACUUUGUUAUGAUGCACUGUGUUUUUAUGCCAAAUACCCAGCUUUGCCCAGCCUUGGUGGCCCAAUAUCCUUUUGUGGUUUGAAGUCUCUAUUCCCUUGAAGACACCUCGUAUCUAUCUGGUCAUUAUCUCAUUUCAUUCUCUGAAGAAUUAUAAUUGCCCUACCUGAUUCUCAUUUUCUUGUUCACUCAUAAUUCUCUUUGAAGUCAACAGAAUGUGUGAGGAUGGGAGAUUUGAGUUGAAUAUGUUAUUCAGAAGCAACUGCAAGAGUGAGAUUUGGGUGUUUAUUUGCCUGGAAACUAUCUUUCCAAGUAAUGACAGCUUAAUGAGACUCACAUACAUUAUAUAUUCUUUCUGGCUUAUAUUCCGUUUUUCUCAAGUAAAGUUAACACAUUCAGGAUCUCUCUGUGCUCUUUUAAUCCACACAUGGUAAUCGUUAUUAGACCUUUGAGACUUGUUAGAAGGAAAAAUAAAAACCACCACUGAGUUCUUUUUUUCCAACAGUUAGCAUAUCAAUAAGAUUUAAGCCAACAAAAUGCAGAGAAGAGUGAGGGAAUAUAGCGGGCCACAUCAUGCCAUCUUUACAAGUAGAAACCCCAAGUCUUUGUUUUUGCAAAUUCUGCUUUCAUUUAUUAGCUUGUUCUGCUUUAGAGCUGAUUGAGGAUAUUCAUAUCACUGAUCUCUGUUUUUAAAACAGAAGUUCCUAGAGGGGAAGUCCAUGCUAUGUCCAGGUCGGGAGGUGUAGGGAAAAUGGUAGUAGGUAGAGGAGAGAAAGUCAGGAAGGUGAACAGUGGAAUCAAGGGAGGCCUAUGAUAUCUGAUCCCGAUUCUUUUCUCAGUAGACGGAGGGAAUCCAGGAUAGCUGGGUGUCUUCUAAAGUACCUAGUGCCCUCAGAUCACCUCCUUCGUACUUGGCCCUACGAGAAGUUAGAUUCUCUUCAUUGCUCUGUUUUGAACCAACUCUCUGUGUUAGGUAUCUUGCUAACAACAUUGACCCAUAUUUAUCCUUCCAGGUGUCUACUGGGUUAGUAUUAGCUUUGUCUUACAAAUGAGGAUUCUGGGACUCAGAAACAGUGGGGUGACAUACCCAAGGCAAGUGGCAGCGUCAGGAUUCAUCCAGGUCAUAGGAUUCUGAGCCUGGAGUGCGUCACUUUUUUUUCUCCACAUAUUAUUUUUUUAAGAGCUUAUCCUUUAGAGUUUAAGAACAUUUCUUGACAAUGCAUUGCAGGAUACAUGUUUAUCUGUGUUUCAGUUGACUCAAAGCAAAGUAGGCCUAACGUAUUGAAACCAAAUAUAUGAAACGUUCAGUAGAACUUUUCGCAAUCAUAGAAAUAUUCUGUUUCUGCUAGACCAGGAUCCACUAGCUUUGAAAUUCGCUACUGUGACUGAGGAACAGAAUCUGUGAUUUUACUUAAUUUUUGUUAAUUUACAUUUAAAUAGCCAUGUGUGGCUUGUGGCUGCCAUAUUGGACAACAUGUCUAGUCCUUAGAUGGGAACAAGAGCCUCCAACAAAAAUUGCUGUUAUGUGAUGCCGACCGAGGGAGGGUAUCCCAGGGAUGCCAGGGGCUUACCCUGCUGCAGGCUGGCCAACAGAAAGGGCUUGGUCCCUGAAGAUCAUGGCAGUGCUUCUAUAUUAUGGUGAGGACUCAAUUUUUAGUUCCCCUUUUUCUGUAGGAACAUCUUAUGUCGGCUUCUUAUAUAGACUAUGUUUGUUUGGUCAUUGGUAACAUAAACCAACUGUGACUAUCUUAAAGAAUAUAGGAAUUUCUCAGAGGGAUUUGGGUUCACUCAGAGAAUUGAAGGGAUCCUGGAAGAGCCCAGGCUUUCAAAAGGGGCCUUGCAAGAAAUAAAGACCUGCUUUGGGGCCAAAUCUGCUCCAAGCAUCCUAGGCUGAUUCCCACAUCCCUAGGAAGGAGGGUCGGGUUGGCCUAGCUCAGGUCCCUGCUGACAUCUUGGUCAAAGGAAGGCAAAGCACUUUCCCAACAGUCCCCCAGAGCUUGUCUGUGAAGAAAAAGAGAGGAAAUGGAGAAAUAGGUGAUGAGCAGACCAAACAACUAGUACCCAUAAACUGCUAACACUUCAUGCACCAGCCACAGGGAGAAAUCAGGUAAAGCUGAGCUGGUGGGUUGAUCCCCAUAUUAUUAACAUGAGAGAAGGGAGAGUAAAAUACUUAACCUCGUUCCAUUAAAGCACUUGGAUUAAAGUGAGUUGCUUUGGCUGAGUCUUUUCAAAGUACUUAAUAUCUGUGACUGUGCCUAGCAGCCCUACGAAGAAGUCAGUACUGUCACUGCUCUUUUUCCAAAUCAAUAAACGAGGAUAAUGAAAAAUUAUGAUUUGCUCAGAGAAAGGUAAUUACUAGUACAGAAAAGAUUUGAGCCCUGAGCCACUGACACCUUUUUCUGUCCUUAAUCCACAUUGUAUGUCACCUCCAAUUUUGCUUUUAGCGCGGAGGAAGAUGGUAGAACUCUCUUUAACAUUAAUAUCUCAGGCCUUUUAUACGCUAAUGAGAGAAAAAUCUCUAUUCAUUAGAUAUGCUUGGAACACGAUUUCACCUGAUGAAUACAAGUGCUUUCUAAUGAGUUUUUAAAAUUAUAUUUGUUCAAUUUCUGUACUUUUCAUCUUUAGUUUCUUGAAUCUUUUUAAGAUUUGCACUUAAAAUUCAGUAGAGUUUUCCACUGGUCUUUAAAAAAGAAAAUAAAACUACCUAUAACCCUGUCAGGUAUUACCGUUGUUAACAUUUUGGUAUGUAUCCUUCCAGUCUUUUUUCUUCACAGGUAGAUACAUAUAUAUAUUUUUUUUAAUUCUUUUAUAUUUUUAAGUAUAACAAGAGAAUCAUACUAUAAGUAAUUCUGUGUACUUUGUCAUUAAAAAAUAUUUUAUGAAUAGCUUUCUCUGCCAUUAAAUACUUCUCUGCAAAUUUUUUUCAAAGUAUAGAUAUCUUAUAAAAGUGAGAUCAUGUUGUAUAUGCUUUUUAAUAAUAUUUUCUUCUUCACUUAAUAGCAUGCUGUGGGUAUCUUUUCAGACAUGUAUGUGUAUGUUUAUAUAUAUAAAUGAAACUACAUUUUUUUAAAGAAUUUAUUUUACUUACUUGACACAGAGAGAUCACAAGUAGACAGAGAGAAAGAGGGGGAAGCAGGCUCCCUGCUGAGCAGAGAGCCUGAUGUGGGGCUAGAUCUCAGGACACUGAGAUCAUGACCUGAGCCGAAGGCAGAGGCUUAACCCACUGAGCCACCCAGGUGUGCCUACAUCUUUUUUUUUCCAACCAGUUCCAUAAACUCUUAUUAAACACAAUGUGUCAUAUAGUGCUGGGCAACAAGGUGACGCAGAUGCAUGAGAAAAACAUGCUAUCAUUUUCAUUAACUCACAAUAUUAUCUGGUAGAUUUGUCGUAGUUUAUUUUCUUAGCCUCUUUCUAUUGGAUAUUUACUUUUUUUUUUCAAAUUUUUUUUUCUAUAACAAAUACAAUGGGCUGAAUCAACAUCCUUCCAGCUCAAUCUUUGCCCACAUGUAAGAUCAUUUCAUUACUUUGAAAGUAGGCAAGGAGUAAGUAAUGCUUUAAUGCUUUUGAUGUUUACUACAGCAUUGCUCCCCUGUUGUCUUAAUUAUGUGUUUUAUGAUUAAACUCUAGACUAUUUUUUUUUUUUUUACAAAUCCAUGUAGGCCUUAGUUCAGUAAGUGAUCACAACUAAGUUAAUAUUAUUUUGAAUUUUAAUAACUAUGUCCUUGAUUUGGAGCAUUUUUCGUAUCAUUUACUUUAUGUUUCCAGCACCCAGCCCCCACAUGUGAGACAUAAAAAGGACUAGUGUGAUAUUUAUUUCAUUUUACAUGUGGGAGAAAUCAAGACACAUAGAGCCAAGAGAGCACCUAAGAUCACACACAUCCUGGCAAAUGUUUAGAGAAACUCCAUGUAGCCCUAAAUAAUUCCAACUGCAGGGGACAUUGUCCUUGUCAUCAGUGCCAUCUCAGUGGGUCAGUCUAGCUACUCUGUAACACGCUGCCCUUGGCCAUGGUUUGUUCUCGUAUUGCAGGCCCAAAGUAGACUGAGAUUCAAAGAGAGAUGUUCUGGGGCUUCUCAAACUUUAGGAAAGAGAACAGGAAGCCUAUAGCCCCAGUUGCCAGUGAUGGCCUUCCUACAAUGAGUAGGGGAAUAAGUCAUAUGUCAAAGCUGAAAUGCAUGGAGAGUCAGGAAAAAAAAAAAUGGUUCUAUGAUGGCAUCACUGCACUUGCCCAACCCUGCAGCUUACCUUGCCGAAGACUCCUUGUUAUGUCAACAAAUACAAGUCUUUGUGACUCGGGACAGAUUGUCAUUACAGCUGAAAGCAUCUUGAAUGAUCAUGGCUUAUAUUUAAAUUCAUAAAAAUGUAAAUACAGCAAUAAUUUUGGCCAAAUAUUUUUUCCUAGUGUCUUAAUUUCUUUUGGCUUAGUAUACACAAAUUCUCUGCUUUUGGCAUGGAAAAAAAUUCAUUUCAUUUCUUGAAGCAAAGAGGAAAAAGGAGAAUACAGAUUUGCUACGAAGUUUCAGCUAAAACUACUUCUCUAUAUAUUGUAUCCCUUAUACAGAGACAUAGCAAACGCAAUAGCUUCCUUUAUUGAAAAGGCAGGGCCUCCAUCAUUUAUUUCACUGUCAAAUUGAGCUGGGACAUUCUCUUUAGAAGUUGACUGAGGUUCCCUAGGAGGAACCUUUUUCAAAAUUUGCUUUUCUUCUUGAUGAUUUACAAAACAGCAUCGGGUUCUUAUUCUCCAGAUUAAGCCAAGUUUUUAGGAAUAUUAUUUAGAUGUCUAAGGAAAAUUGUCAGCUUAAAUUUUGUUGAAGCCAAAUUUUACCAUUGUAGUCCCCCAAUUGUUUCUGCAAGUGUUUAAUCCAUAUGCUACUCUCAGUGCAAUUUAUUUCUGCAGAUAUGCAACUUAAGACUUCAUUUCCAAUAAGGAAGACUUGCUUUAAUCAUGAUAUGAUGCAUCCUCUUUCUCAGAAAAUGACGGUGUUAUCAGAUAUUCUACAAAGUAUUUUAUACCCAUUUCUCAGCCUCAUAUCAACACCACGGGAUGCGUACUCUUUUUACAUGAAGGGAUGAGACUGAGGAGGUAUGUCGUUUUACCCAAGUUCCAUUGCUGGCAAGUGUUAGAAUAGUAGUGGGUUGAACCCAGCAAUGGGUUGUUAGUCCACAUCCUACUUCUCUGGUGGGAAUACUAGCCCCUGAGUUAAGACUAAAAAGAAUAGCCAAGAACAAGAGGCUUCUAAAAAUGCAAAGAAUUCUGAAAAUCAAUGAGAAAAAAAAAAAAAAAAGUUCCAAGCAAGAAAAUGGGAGGCACAUAAAGAAAAAUGACAACACAGAGAGUGGUCCUGGGAAUUUCAAGUUCAUAGGCUCACAUAGACACAGGAGCAGCUGAUGUGAUGGGAAUAGCAUUACAGUUAAACCCAGAGAGGCCAGGUCUCAUGGAAAGUUCCCAAACCACCCAUUUAAAAGAUUUCACUUUAUUUCCAGGGGGCGGACCAAUAAUAAUGACGGUGACUAACACUUGCUGAGCAUUUAAUAUGUCUGCGAUACUGUUCUGUAUAGUAUACCAGUAUUGUCUCAGCUCAUCUGUAACAGCAGUCCUCUGACAUUUACUGAUGAAGAGACUGAGGUUCUAAAUGGCCGAUUAACUGUCCGACGGCCUCACGUUUGUAAGUAGGGAAGCGGGGAGAUGAACCCAGGUGGUCUGAUUCGAGAACUUGCCUUCCAAGCACAUAUUGCGUGAAGGAAGGGAUAGAUUCGCAGCCCAGAAUGUUGGGAUGCUCCACGAAGGCAAGCAGGGUAGUAAAGAGACCCUGUAACACGGUGGGAAAAGCACAAGGUCUGAAGUCAGAAGACCUGUGUUUAAGACUUGAGUCUUACAAGCUGUAGUACUUGGCAAUUAUCCUUGACCUUUCUGAACCCUGUCUGUAUAAUAGGGGUAAUUAUACCUGUCUUGCCCAGUUCAUCAGGUGGAUGUGAGGAUCAAAUGAGGCUCUGUGUGUGAAAGUACAUUAUAAACCUUCAAGCCCCUUAUAAAUAGUGCCCCAUAUAAAUGCAUUAUUGUGCCACCAUGAAAGGAAUCUAGCAUCAUGUAAAGGAUAUACCAAUGCUUUGUCUAGUCAGUGGGCAGAUGACCCCCAAAGUUUGUUUUCGGCUACAAGCAGCGAUCUUGUAUGCAAAGCAGGGCUUAAAAAACAACAACAUUGAAGGGUAUCAGUUUGAAUGUUGAUAAGUGUUUUAUAAAUAGCUGCAUAAUUAGCAUGUACUUACUGCAAAAAAUAUACAUAAUAUUUUAUUCCCUGUUGUAGCUGUAAUGAAUCUGCCGCCUCUCCGUCCUAGGAGGCUUUCACUUACUUUCUCCAUGAUAAUUUUAAUAUGUGGAACCAUUAUUAGCUGAAUUAAGAAUAAGUAAAUGAGCAGUAAAAAAAAAAUACAGAAAAAUUACAGGUGCCUGUGGUGAGUAAGAUAAUAACUAGGUAAAAAUAUAUGAAAUAAUUACAGUGUUUGAACGGCACAGCCGGCAUGAGGAAAAUGACUCAAUGGAAUAUUAAGCCAGCUGUUGGCAGGGUAGAAAGACUGUAGCCUACACCGUGGCCUUCACCUCUUCAGAUCCUCAGCCCUGAUCCACACUGAAAACAUUCAGUUUGUCCUCAGUCAGUUGAGUGAUGCCGAAGGAACCGGUCCAAUUCGACAAAGAAUUCAGUCAUUCUGAGAGUCUGUGUUCCUAUAGAUUAAAUACCCCGUAAUUAAAAGAUUCUAUUUCAAAGAUGCACCUGAUAUCUGGUACUUGUGUGGACCUAGUUCCUGAUGACAUUGAAUAUGAACGUCCUUAGAAUGUAUCCAUGAUCUGUAUUUGACAUCUUUUUUUUUUUUUAAGAUUUUAUUUAUUUAUUUGAGAGACAGAGAUCACAAGUAGGCAGAGAGGCAGGCAGAGAGAGAAAGAGGAGGAAACAGGCCCCCCGCUGAGCAGAGAGCCCUAUGCAGAGCUCAAUCCCAGGACCCUAGGAUCAUGACCUGAGCUUCGUGAAGGCAGAGGCUUUAACCUACUGAGCCACCCAGGUGCCCCUGUAUUUGACAUCUUGACAAAACAGAAUUUCAGAUAAUUUAGAUAAAGCUUUUAAGGAGACAUGAUGUUUGUCUGUUUUUGAAAACUGUGUUAUAUAUAGUACUCCAAACAGUGUAAUUGAAUUAAGGUAACCAGUCAAUCAACAAACAUUUGAAGUUUUUUAUGAUUCCCAUUUCUGCUGUUAAGGAUUCUGAUUUAAUGUUCCCAGAUGGUGAAAAAUCUUAUUACCAUAACAAGAGAAACCUCAAGUUAGGAUUUGAAACCUCACAAAUGUUUGGUUAAUAGUGGUGAGUCACUGCUUUUUUUCUUUUUAUGUAAGUUCUAUGCCUAACAUGGGGCUUGAACUCACAAUCCCGAGAUCAAGAGUCCCAAUGUGCGGCCUCCUGAGCCAGCCAGUCACCCCCAAGCCGCUUUCUAAAUCAAGAGGUACUAGUUGGAACUAUGGCAGAGAGGAUCUAGUUCAGACAUUAGGAACCCUAUGCCUUCCUGACCAUCAGAUUGUCAGGCAGCUGCAGCAAUUAAUUCUUGAUUUCCUGUAUGUGCUUUGUCUUCUUUGUGGAUUUUUUGGGAUCAGUUUCCGCAUCUCAGACUGAUUUCCCCAUUAUCCGAUAAACUUCAAAUCCCCUAAGUCUGCUGCAUAAUACAUGUUAGCAUAAAGAAAUGUUAAUAUCAGACAAAAUGUGCCAACAGAGACAGGUAAACAAUGUCCUGGGGAGAGAUAAGAGAACUGAGUUCUAAUAUCAAGAAUUCUUUUGGUAGAUUUGGAAAAACACUUAAACUCAUUCUACCUCAGUUUCCUUACCCUCUGAAAUUGUGGCGUUAGAGAUACAAUCAAAGGGCUUUUGCAACUCACAGAUUCUGUGAUUCUGUGAAUCAUCUGAAAUCCACUCAGUGUGUCAGUGAUGACUUUGGCCAACAUUGACUAUUAAGGCCUUUUCUUAAUUGUAUUUAAGAUAAAAAUGUAAGUAAUUUUAGAUUCUCUUACAGACUUUUUUUUUCACUUUAUUUUAUUUUAUAUCUUUUCAGUGUUCCAAAACUCAUUGCUUAUGCACCACACCCAGUGCUCCAUGCAAUAGUGUCCUCCAUAAUACCCACCACCAGGCUCACCCAACCCCCCAUCCCCCUCCCCUCCAAAUCCCUCAGUUUGUUUCUCAGAGUCCACAGUCUCUCAUGGCUCAUCUCCCUCUCCAGUUUCACCCAAUUCACUUUUCCUUUCCUUCUCCUAAUGUCCUCCAUGUUAUUCCUUACGCUCCACAAGUAAGUGAAACCAUAUGAUAAUUGACUCUCUCUGCUUGACUUAUUUCAUUCAGCAUAAUCUCGUCCAGUCCCAUCCAUGUUGAUACAAAAGUGGGGUAUUCAUCCUUUCUGGUGGAGGCAUAAUACUCCAUAGUGUAUAUGGACUGUAUCUUUUUUAUCCAUUUGUCCAUUGAAAGGCAUCUUGGUUCUUUCCACAGUUCGGCAACUGUGGCCAUUGCUGCUAUAAACAUUGAGGUGCAUAUGGCCCUUCUUUUCACUUCAUCUGUAUCUUUGGGGUAAAUACCCAGUAGUGCAACUGCAGGGUCACAGGGUAGCUCUAUUUUUAAUUUCUUAAGGAAACUCCAUACUGUUUUCCAAAGUGGCUGCACCAACCCACAUUCCCAACAGUGUAGAGGGUUCCCCUUUCUCCACAUUCUAACACUUGUUAUUUCCUGUAUUGUUUCUUACAGACUUCUAUCUAACACUUUAUUUCUCUGUGUCUUUUUCACCAUAAAUUCAAGCAGCCAUAUUGCUUCUUUCCUGAACCCAACCGUCAUGAUAUCAGGAGUCAUGGCCCUGCUUAAUAUAUGUAUGUCCUUAUCAUUUGACAAAAUCACAGGAUUGUGAUGUAAUUUAUUUUCUCUGCUAACUGCACUUAACAUAGACACUAGCCAAGUAUAUAUUUCAUAUAGUGUGGUUAAAAGUAUCUUAUGUUGGGGGGAAAAGUAUCUUAUGUAUGUGGUUUCCAUGGAUCAUCCUUUCUAAAUGGUUGCUUGUCCUGGGGAAGAGCCAGGUUUGUAUUCCCAUGAGACUUUCUCCAUCAAGUGGUUAAUGGGUUGUUCUGGUUCUAGCCAAAGAAGGUAAUGGUUUCUAUGACCUUCCUGUUGUGUUUGAAUUUAUGAACAAACUAUAUUUGAAAUGUUACUCUUUUUAGGUUUAAUUGUUUUACAUCAUAUUGAGACAAGGGACCUGGUGGGAUGUUAUUUCCCACCCCUAGCCCCCAGCUGCUGUCUGAAGGGAAUAUAGUCUUUUCCCCUCUCUCCAUCUUUUUUGUAAAUGUUAAAUAAAAUCUAAAAAUAAAUCACAUAAAUCUUCUAAAACCUGGGGAAAGUGUUAUGGGAAUCAACAGAAGCCCCAACACAUCCUCUAUAACCAUUUCAGGUAUCAUCAAUUACAUAAAGUCUUCUCUGUGUCCCUUGAGAAUCUGAUUCAACAGACUGUUCUGGAAUGGAACAAUCUGUUGCCUGUGGAGGGGCAGAAUUCUUGAGCAUAUGCCUGGAUUCAGCUUAUAAAAGUACUAUCACUACCACCUCCAGUAACAUCUGUAAAGGGAAAGGGAGACUUUAUGAAACAACUCAGUGCUUCCUUUUAUUUUUCCAGAGGCAAAAACACUUAACUUUCUUGAGAAAAGAAACCAAGCCUUAUUCUAAUCCCUGUGGAUUUGGCCAUUGCUGGAUCCCAGGGGCCUGUGGAGCUAUUCAUUAAGAGCAGAGGACACUCAACUCUGGUUUAGGUAUUCAUCAGCUCUGGGAAACUUAGAGCUUAGGCAAAGGAAAAGAAAGAAAGAAAGAAAGAAAGAAAGAAAGAAAGAAAGAAGGAAAGAAAUCUCUUUCUCAUCAGGAUUUUUGCUUCCCAGAUGCAAUCAUUCUCAAUAAUUUCAUGAACCCAAGCGCUAACAUCCAGUCACUGUUGGGGAAUGGGGGUGAUGACAAUGGAGAGGGCCCUGUCUGGAUUUAUCAACCCUCCAUUUAUUUGCUGAACAACCUUGGGCAGAUCCCUUCUCUCAGUUUCAUCUGUAAGUAUUUAGAGAGAGUGUUACAUGAUCAUGUCAGCACAUGGAGCACAUUUAUUAUAAACUAUAAAGCUCCAUGCAGGUUUAGAGUGUUACCAUGUUAAUCCUUCCAAUCAUGUGUUCUUUCAUUGUAGAAAAAAGACAGAUUCCCCCGGAGGAAAGAAGUCAAGACAAAGUCCUGACCCACAGAGAUAACGUAAAUUUACUGUCCUGUCCUAAAGCCUUAUAGAUUAGCCUCACGUGUGCUCCUGGUAACACUGUACCCAAGUCACAAGUAUUCACAUUGUUUCCUGAGUCCAAGUCAGGAUAACCUGGAGGGGCAGCUGGGUGGCUCAGUUGGUUAAGCCUCUGACUCUUGGUUUUGGCUCAGGUCAUGAUCUCAGGAUCUUGAGAUCAAGUUCCAUAUCAGGCUCUGUGCUCAGCACGGAGUCUACUUAAGGUUCUUUCCCCUCCCUCUCCCACCUCCUCUGCUGCUCCCACUGCUUGCUCUCUCUCUCUCUCUCUCUAAAGAUAAAUAAGUAAAAUCUUAAAAAAAAAAAAAAAAAAGAUAA